UGGGGAAUUUUGGACAAUGGGCGAAAGCCUGAUCCAGCAAUGCCGCGUGUGUGAAGAAGGCCUUCGGGUUGUAAAGCACUUUUUGUCCGGAAAGAAAUCCUUGGCUCUAAUACAGUCGGGGGAUGACGGUACCGGAAGAAUAAGCACCGGCUAACUACGUGCCAGCAGCCGCGGUAAUACGUAGGGUGCAAGCGUUAAUCGGAAUUACUGGGCGUAAAGCGUGCGCAGGCGGUUUGCUAAGACCGAUGUGAAAUCCCCGGGCUCAACCUGGGAACUGCAUUGGUGACUGGCAGGCUAGAGUAUGGCAGAGGGGGGUUAGAAUUCCACGUGUAGCAGUGAAAUGCGUAGAGAUGUGGAGGAAUACCGAUGGCGAAGGCAGCCCCCUGGGCCAAUACUGACGCUCAUGCACGAAAGCGUGGGGGAGCAAACAGGAUUAGAUACCCUGGUAGUCCACGCCCUAAACGAUGUCAACUAGUUGUUGGGGAUUCAUUUCCUUAGUAACGUAC
rnacentral:rRNA from 1 species